rnacentral:lncRNA from 1 species
CUUCAUCAUCUUUACCGACCUGCAUACCCUUCAGAACAGAUUCGACUACAAGCUGUAAAGCCAGCGUGGUCUUUUUGCGGUGCUUCUUUAACUUGAGAUUACAACAGGAAGCUUUGUUGACUCUGAUUCUAAGGAGGCAUUUGUUUGGAGGUUUGGACGGCUUCUGUUUUCGAGUGCUCAGUGGGGAUGUAUCAGAGCUUGCAGCGGGCAGUUGGGUUGGUUUUCAUUAUGCCGGCCGACCCAAUCUUCAAUCCGAAUCGUGGAGUGUUUUUACUGGUCGAGCAGGGUGCGGAUGUGUUGGAUAGUGGCAGAC